GUCUAUGUAGUAUAUUAAUUACACUGGUCUUGUAAACCAGAAAUGGGGAAACAAACUAUUCCCCCACAGACU
rnacentral:tRNA from 1 species